UUACGGCCACAUCAUGUUGAAACACCAGUUCCUGUACAAUCACUGACGUUAAGCAACAUGAUGUUUGGUCAGUACCUAGAUGGGUGACCACUUGGGAAUACCAGGUUG